CUCCCUGUCCUGAUGGAUUGCAGGCUUCGGUUUACGAAACCGAUUGUCCUUGGUUCGAUUCCAAGCAGGGAGGCCA
rnacentral:tRNA from 1 species